CGCUGCUCCACUUCCACAAAGGAAGAAAGUACUAUGCAAAUUGCAAGGAAGAGAAGGGCAACAGUUGAACAAAAGGAUUAUUACACAGCAGAAGUAAUUUAUGUCUUUGCUCAUCUGGUGAGGGAGAUCAAUCUGACCUGUUCACUUGUGAAAGCUGCAACAGAUGAACAAGCUGGAGAUUCACUCGCACACCAAUAUGCACAUCCCAAACACU